AAAGAUAAAUUAAGUGUUGGCCCUGCGAAAGACUGGUGACCGGUCCAUGGUGUACCCUGCCUCUCACCUGUUAAAAUGCUGGGAUAGGCUCCAGCUCACCCGUGACCUGUAAUGGAAUAAGCAGUCAAGAUAAUGGGAAAAAAUAAAUAAAU